rnacentral:rRNA from 1 species
GAAGGUCACGGCGAGACGAGCCGUUUAUCAUUACGAUAGGUGUCAAGUGGAAGUGCAGUGAUGUAUGCAGCUGAGGCAUCCUAACAGACCGGUAGACUUGAACCUUGUUCCUACAUGACCUGAUCAAUUCGAUCAGGCACUCGCCAUCUAUUUUCAUUGUUCAAAUCUUUGACAACACGAAAAACCAUUGUUCAACUCUUUGACAACAUGAAAAAACCAAAAGCUCUGCCCUCCCUCUCUAUCCAAGGGAUGGAAGGGCAG